ensembl:snoRNA SNORA73 Small nucleolar RNA SNORA73 family
CCAACGUGGAUAUCCCGGGAGGUCACUCUCCCCGGGCUCUGUCCAGGUGGCGCUUCUGCCCCAUGAUGUACAGUCCCUUUCCACAACGUUGGAGAAGAAGCUGGGCCUUGUGUCUGCGCCUGCAUAUUCCUACAACUUCUCAGAGUCCUUUGGGCAAUGACUGAGGAGAUAAACCAUGCAGGAAACAGUU